UGCCCCAUUGUGGAGCUUGCCAUUUGAUAAAUCACCUUUCCUAUACAUAAAGUGGUUGGUUUCUGUUUUGUAUGUGAUGCAGACAAGCAUUGGCUAAUGCACUGGCAGCAGCUCCAUCCAUGUGGACUCUAGGAAACGCCGGCAUGGGCGCAUUACAGAGGCUGGCGAAAGAUAACAACCUUGCUGUCACUGCAGCGGUGUCCAAAGCGAUCUACGAACUAAAGAACAAAUGGGAAAUAGAGGAAGGAGAUAGCUGGAGGUUCAUGAUGAAUCAGAAGCCAUCGGAUAGCACAGAUGGAGAUGAUGGAGAUGAAAAUUAAGGAGCAAUAUAAAAAUGGAAUUUAUAUUGUAGAUAUGUACACACAGGUUUUAACUAGUUGCAGGCAAGUGAUGAAUUCAUCUAAUGUUUGAUGUUAGAAUUCGUUACUUCCUGGAAAAUCUGUCGACUUUGCUUGAAUUA